rnacentral:tRNA from 1 species
UCCGUUGUGGUCUAAUGGUUAGGAUUUGCGGCUCACCCCGCAAGGCCCGGGUUCGAUUCCCGGCAACGGAA